ACGGGAGCACCUGCGACGCCCUCACUUUUGUCUCCCCCUCCCUCCCCCGGCGGCGGCGCCGCGAAUGGUUCAGCCCAUCUCUCCGCUACGCGCAGCGGUGGUUUAGCCCCGGAGUGACGCCCCGUGCGACUUCUGAUUAUUCUUGAUGCUUUCCUUUGGCCCCUCUCCACUUUCUUGCAGUGUUGUGCCAAAAACUGGAUACAGCACCGUGGCUGAGACCUUCUGGGAUCCAUAGACACUCCUCUUCUCCAAGGUGGAAAUUGCCAUUACAUCUGUUUGAAUGAAGAAAGUUUCCUUCUUGAAAAGUGAAAUUGUUGCAAAAAAAAAAAAAAAGUGGAA